AACUCGGCGCCGCGUCGUGCGCCAGCAUCGCGCGGGCCCCGAGGGCGCCCUGCCCGCCCGGGCCCCGAGCCUCGGCUGCAGCGGGCGCGGGGGUCGAGGGGGCCUGGGGGCGGGCGCGCGGGCGUGGGCCCCGGAGCGCCGGCCGGACCCCGCGGCCCUCCCCGUCCCCCCGCCCCCGCCCCCUGCCAGCACUCCUUAGACAGGGACUGGGCGACGUGGGACGAGACUCCCAUCCCAUUUUUUAAAAAAGAAAAACUUAGUAGUCUCUGUUCUGUUGCUUUUGAUUCUUUGUAGCUCUAGAGAGUCCGGGCUGCGCGCCCGGCUCCGUCUCGCUGGUUAGACUUCAGACCCCCUCCUGCCUCCGUGCUUCCUCGGCGGAGACCCCACUGAGGGCGCCGCUCCUCUCCCCCCCCCCCCAACCCCGAGACCCAGCCCCCGGUCCUGCCUCGGCUUUCCCGGCUCGAUGGGGCGGGUUUUUAUAUCUGUGUAUUUUUCGCGCGGCCUCCACAGCCUCAGCUGGGGUUCCCGAAGGUCAGAAAAUGGCUAUUGAUUAAUCUAUUAGAAUAGUUGCCGAGAGAAAUAAAAACGACGUAAAAUAACAGGGAACCUAUAAAUACAGAAGCCGUAACUAGCUGCUCGGAGUUGUUAAACGACUUAGCAUGUGAAAAAGUCGGAAAUGAGGCGCUGGGGAAGGAGCCGGGAGUGGAGCGGCCUGGAAACCCUCCCGGACUGAACUCCGCGGAAGCCGGCAGCAGAGCGCGUGGAGGCGGCGGCGAGGACGCGGCCCGUGCACACCGAGUCUCCUUGGCAAGGGAGCUGCACCGCUUUGUGGCCCGCGGGCUCCGAACCGCUCCCAUCGCCGUCUACACAGCCUCCCGCGAAACCGACUGGAGCGGCGAGCUGGCUGCCCAUCGCCCCCCGGCUGCCGAGGCCGCGGCUGCAACUGUGCGAGGAAUCCAGUAAUUAUACAAAAGGAAGGUCGGAAGGACAAAACAAACCAACCGAAAUUGACAAAUUCUGAAUUUCCUUUGCUCAGCUUCGGUUGUUCAGCCCGGAGGCAGGCGCGGGCCGCAGCACGAGGCCCACCGCGGCCUAGGAGGCCGGGCCUGCGUGGACGCGUGCACGUGUGCGCGCGCGGGAGGGUGGCGGCCCCGGGGGGCAGUCCUGCGCGGUCUUCUUGAAGUAGCCUCCAAACGAGCCUGAUUUCGAUUCCGCCGCCCGCGGGGCUGCCUCUCCGACUCCCUCGGCGCGGCCGGCCCCUGCGCUCACCCUUCCUCGGCCAAGACCUGGCUUCAUCCAUCCACUCCCCGGUGUCUCAUUGGAACCUCCCUGGGGGAAAGGGGGGGUGGUGGUGAACAACUCCCAGCCGCCAGUUCCAUUUGUUGCGCUUUUUUCCUUCGACACAAUAAAAGUCAAAUUAAUUGAUUCAUACCAUUAAUUACGGCGCGUAGCGUGAAAAGCAAGCUUCCCCUCGGUUAGAGAUCUAUUGUGCUAAUCUCUUGUUCAAUCAGUGUUACCAUCUGAUGCCGGGUCUGGCCCUUACAGAAACUUUUCGACUCGAUUAGCUAAAUGAUGAGACGUGCAGGACCCGCUGGCUGCCGCCCCGACGUCCCGCGCCCGCGCC
ensembl:lncRNA